rnacentral:lncRNA from 1 species
AAAAUAGGAAGUACUAUAACAAAAGACUAGACAAACUCUUACACCACCUAAAAGACUCAAAACUACUAGACAAGACAAGAAAGCAAAAGAAAACAUGAAAACAGACUCAAAAUAUAAAACGCCUCUUCAGACAACCUCCCAAAUGCGAUGGUCUUGGAUACCAAUCAUGCUCGAGCUGUGGUAAAUGAAUCCAUACCUGAAUGAAAAAAAUAAGACCAAAAUGGAUCAGUGACUCAAGACACUAUGCAACACCACAACACCUCAUAUUGGACACAUGCAUGGCACGAUUGGGCAAUUAUUUUUGAAAAUUAACCUACGUGGCCUAAAGUGGCUAGAAGUGCAAACUCAACAAAGGUGAACUCAAAGAUAUGAAAAUACCUCCAUAAGGCUUAUAUGGAUUCAAACUCCCAAUAAUCAUGGCCCAAAAUUAAUUUUGCAGAAAUGACCCAUUUUGUAGAAACGACCGAUAUGGCCCGAAGUGGCUAAAGAUGCAAGCUCAAUAAGGAUGGAUCUUAAAGUAAUAUGACACCUAGUUUUGGACUCAAGAUCAUAAGACAUGCGUCACUGAACCACUUUUGCGAAAAUGACCCCAUUUUGCAAGAAUGGCUGAUGUGGCCAAAAGUGGCUAGUCCUGCAAGAUUUGGCUAAGACCCCGUGAAGCCAAGAACCUAAUACUCACUAGGAAGACCGGACCCUAUGUGGGUUUCCUACGUAUCCCUCCCCGAAAGACGAGAAUCAGGUUCGCGUAGUUCGUGAAUAUUAGAUAUGUGAUAGAAUUUAAAACAAAUGCACUCGAUUUGCAAAAACUAUAUUUUUUGUCUUUUUUUUAAAAAAAAAAUGAUGGAGAAUGUAAAAUGUUUUUGUAUUUUCUUUUUCUCUUUUUUUUGAAUUUUUGGAAAAUGAUGGGAAAGUUUAAAAUCUUUUUGGAUUUUUUAUUUUCUCUUUUUUUUUUGAAUUUUUGAAAAAUGAUGGGAAAGUGCAAAAUCUUUUUGGAUUUUUUAUUUUCAUUUCUUUUUGGUCUUUUCUUGAAAAAAUUGUGAAAGAAAAAUAUAACUGGGUCCUACUUGCUUCAUUUUUCACCCUUCUUUUCCAAACAUCAGUCUGCCAAAUGAUCUUUUUACCCUCAAAGAUGCAACAUGUAUCACAUAGGGAUGAUUGAAUGUCUUUUUGGGCCACAGGCCCAUUAUUGACAAAAUUUGGAUCAACUUCCUACAAAGGGACACAGUACCUGGGACCGAGCCCUACUAGGUCUGAAUGACAUUAUGCAAAUAAGCAUGACCUAAAGGCUGACCUACGGUUUGGGUUCACUAGACAAGGCAAUUCGGGCGGCACGUGGUCGAUGGUGGCUGCUCUAGCUGUCCGCCCACUCCACGCUCCCACGCCACCCCCUAAAGACACGGGUGACUCACAAAAAGGCCGUGUACGCUCAAACGUAUUCCGGAAGACUUGUUGCAGAAAGAAGACUCGGGGUUAUGCAAAUGAUGACAAUUUAUAAAGCAGUAACACAUAAAGGAAAUAUUGUAAACAAAUAAGCAACUAGCAAAUAAAACGACAUAAACAAAAUAAAAAUCAAAUAAAGCAAACAAAAUACAUAAAAACCUCAACCGAAUAUCCUAAAAAGCCAACAAGAUCAAGUACUAGCUCGAACCUGCAAUUCCCCAGCAGAGUCGCCAGAAAUGUCACACCCCUUUUUUACAAACCUCAAUAACCCUCUUAAAAAUAUUAAAAAGAUUUAGUAAAGCUCAAAAGGGUUUUUCAAUUCGAAAGUGACAAAAAUUCGUGUUAAAAAAGAUUAACUUAGAGUCGCCACCUGACAUUUGAUUUCGGUGUGUCAGGUCACCGUUUUUCUAAAAAUAAUUUUUUUUCCCUUUCAAAACACUUGAGACUCCAAAACUAAGCCUGCACUAGAGAUUUCGGUAAGGGGGUUCAUUUGACUUAGGGAGAAGGUGUUAGGCAUUCCCCAAGUCCAGUAAUUAGUACGGUUGCAUACUUGAUCUAGUCGGCUUUUAAAAUAUUCAAGUUGAGGUAGAAUUAUGGAAAAGUAAAAUAAACACACAAGAGGCUCGAGGUCGUCCCCACCUAAAUAAAAGAAAAUUAAAAGAAGGAAAAUGAAAGUUCUAAGUUAUCCUAUGCUACUUCUUCUACGAUGUUCGCCAUGUCUUCUAAUUACAGAAUACUACGGGGCAUUCCCCGGAAUAAAUAUGUACAAUUCCUUCGGGACAUUCCCCGGAUAAAUUUAACUAAGGGAACGACCUAUCGCCUCAAAACUAAUAAAAAUCUUAAGGCUUGCCUACCCAAGUGUGGUCGGCCUAAGCAUGCUCCUAUCGACCCCAAAUAGAUAAAAUAGAAAUCAAAGUUAGAGAAUUAUCUAAAACCCAACAACUCAAAGUUCUGUCCAAAACCCCACGCUUGAGACUUGGCAGAAUAUCCAAACAAUCAAAUAAUCUAAUUAACUUAGUUAACCUAAAUCUUUUGUUGUCAAAAUGUUAAUCCAAGCAAUCAUCAAAGCAAAGCAAUGACAUACACGAAAUAAAAUGGCAUGAUAUGCUAUGAAGCAAAAUAGUAGCAGAAGGUUAGAAGUAGACCUUAACUAUCUCAAAACUUUGGUUGAAAAAACGAACCUCGAUCGAGAAAUAAAAUCAGCAAAUAGGAACCGCACCAUGACCUUGAACCGAACCUCGGGCUCUAACCUCGAACCGUGAUCGCGAAACAAACUCGACUCAAUCAAACGAACUCCAUUAGAGAUGACGAAGCAAAAAGGGUCGUUUGGUGGUCGAAUAAGCAGCAGCUGGCAGUGGUUUUAGGUGUUAGGUUGCUGAUGUUCUGGGUUGAAGAAGAGGAGGUCGGCGGCGGAUUCCGGCAGGUUUGGGGCUGCUAGCUGGUCUUUUCCGGCGAGUCCAGUGGCUGGCCCGUUUUUGCUCCCUAGGGUUUGUAUUAUGUGCUGAAGGGUUGAAGAAGAAGGGAGC